AUUGAACGCUGGCGGCAGGCCUAAUACAUGCAAGUCGAGCGAGCGGCGGACGGGUGAGUAAUGUCUGGGAAACCGCCUGAUGGAGGGGGAUAACAGCUGGAAACGGUAGCUAAAACCGCAUACCAUCAGAUGAGCCCAGAUGGGAAUAGCUAGUCGGUGGGGUAAUGUCCCACCUAGGCGACGAUCCCUAUCUGGUCUGAGAGGAUGACCAGCCACACUGGAAUGGAGACACGGUCCAGACUCGUACGAGAGGCAGCAGUGGAGAAUAUUGCACAGUGGGCGCUAGCCUGUAGCCGCCACGCCGCGUGUGGUUGCAGGUCCUACGGUUUGUAAAGCAUUUUCAGCUUUGAGGCGUUCCCCUCAGAAGAAGCCCCGGCUAACUCCGUGCUAGCAGCCGCGGUAAUUC
rnacentral:rRNA from 1 species